CUUCAUGCUGUUGGCAUUCAAAUGACCUAAGCAUUUUCAUAAUACGUGAAGUCUUGCUUGAGAAUGCUCUGAGCACUUGGAUGUGGAAGGAAGAAUGGAAAUUGCAAUAACAAAAUCCUAAUUCUAAUAGAAUAUUAACAAUGUUCAAACAGACGAUAAUAAUGGUAAACAAAGUUAAUCAAAUUCAAAAAAAAUUCAAAGAAAUUUCAAACAAAUAAUAACAAUUUUUAAAGAAAUAUUAGAAUGAUCACAAAUAUCACUCAAAUACAUGUCAAUUCAAUCUUAGUUUAAUUUUAGUUAAAAUCCUAUUAAACUUCAUUCAAACUUUAGACCAAAACUAAUUAAAUUUUAAAUCUUAAUAAAAUCCUAAAUCCUAAGUCAAAUUCUAAAUCCUAAAUCAAAUCUUAAACAAAUUCUAAUCAAAUCCUAAGCCAAAUCCUAAACCAAUCCCUAACCAAAUCCUAAUCUAAAUCUUAAAUCCUAAACCAAAUCCUAAUCCAAAUCCUAACUAAAUCCUACUCCAAACCCUAACUAAAUCCUAAUCCAAAUACUAAACCUUUAAUCGAACCCUAGUCCAAAUCCUAAAUCCUAAAUUAAACCUUAAUCUAAAUCCUAAAUCUUAAAUCAAAUCCUUAAUCAAAUCCUAAACCCUAAACCAAAUCUUAACUGAAUCCUAAAUCCUAAAUCAAACCCUAAAUAAAUCCUAA
rnacentral:lncRNA from 1 species